rnacentral:rRNA from 1 species
GACGUAGGGCGCGAGCGUUGUCCGGAUUUAUUGGGCGUAAAGAGCUCGUAGGCGGCUUGUCGCGUCGAAUGUGAAAACUCGGGGCUCAACUCCGAGCUUGCAUUCGAUACGGGCAGGCUAGAGUUCGGUAGGGGAGACUGGAAUUCCUGGUGUAGCGGUGAAAUGCGCAGAUAUCAGGAGGAACCCCAGAGGCGAAGGCGGCGCCCUGGCUCGCAACUGACGCUCAGACACGACAGCAUGGGGAGCGAACGGG